UCUGAUUAUCAAUUAAUGUUUUCUGAUUUUUAAUGACAAAAAAAUUUUAAAUUAAUUUCAUAUUUUCAUUAUUCUCCCAACGGACAAAAAAAAAUCUGAAUUAAUUGAAUAAAAAAGAAUUUUGAAUUAAUUGAAUUAACAAUAAAGUUGAUAUGCCUUUAAAAAAAAAACAAUAAAGUUGAUAGGACUAGGUGACUAGUCAAUUUCACUUUCACAGCAUGGGCACUCAACAAUUAGACUUGACUAGCUUACAGAAUUUGUAAGCUACAGACUGCAGCAUCAGCCGUUGGAUGUGGAGUGAGAAACUAAACAAUAGACAAUCGAAUGGUGGCAAUGGGAUGACGCAAGAAGUUUGUUAUAGAAUCGGUACCAUAGAGUCAUAGACAGGUCCCUCAACAAUUAAUUUUUAAUAAUAAAAAAAUUCUAAAUUAAAUCAAUUACUCACCUUACAAUUCCAACGGACAAAUGAAUGAUUAAAUGCAACUGUUUAAUUUGCUGCAACCUUGCAGAGUUGCACGAAGCUUUGCAGUUGUAGACUUGUAGGUUUGCAGCGUGUUUGCCUGUUUUUGACCGUUAAUAUGUUUACUUUUUUAUUCUAUUUAAACGAUUAAAUUAUUUUCGAUUUCAUCUCACUUCUCAAUCUCUAAUUCUCUAUCUCCUCGUUAUCUCUCUUGUCUCAUCAGUCAUCUCUAGUCUCUUGAUAAGUGCAUAUUUUCCAUAUAUUUUACUAUUAAUUUCUCCAUUUUUUUUCUUGUUUUGGUCUUAAAUAUUCUAGUUAUUUUAGUUUAUUUUUAAAUUAUACAUAUUUUACCCUUAAUUAUUUAAUUACUAGUGAUUUUUAUUUGUUAUUUUUAAAAUUUUAAUUAAUUGAAUUAUUUUACUGAAUAGGAAAUUAAUUGGAGAUUGUGGAUAAUAAAAAGGCAUGAAGAAAUUCAAAUUGAGAAGGAAUAAAGAUUAAAUUGGAAGACAAAAAUCAAAGCAAUUAAUCCAAUUGAGAAAUGUUGAAUAAUUAAAAGAUUUAAUGUUUUCCAAUUGGCAAUUGGAGUACACGUGCAUGGCAUUGCAAAAGUGGAAAGCAUUUAAACGGGCCCACAAUUGACUUUCAAAAGUUGGAAUUAAUGGCUUUGGGUGGCGUUAAAUUGGAAAAGGAUUUCAAUUCUAAUUGAAAAAGGAUUUCUUUGGAUUUGUUGGAGAAGAAUUCGGUCAACUAGCAUUAUAAAAGGAGAGCAGCUGCUGGACGGAAGGGAGAGGAGGGAGAGCAGGGGCUGAUCCAAUUUCGCAAGAAGAAAAAAAAAACAAGGAAGACGCCAGAAGG
rnacentral:lncRNA from 1 species